rnacentral:lncRNA from 1 species
AGUCUGGUCUACAGAGUGAGUUCCAGGACAGCCAGUAUACAGAGAAACCAGAGAAACCCUGUCUCAAAAAACCAAAGGGGGGGAUUUAUUUAUUUAUUUAUUUAUGUGCGUACGCUGUAGUUGUACAGAUGGUUAUGAGCCUUUAUGUGGUUGCUGGGAUUAAAGGCGUGCACUACCACUGCCCGGCUAUUUCAUGACCUUUUAUCUAAGUGAAUACUUACAAGUGCUUAACAAUUCUGUUUGUAUAGGCUUGUCAGAAUACAAAUGCUAUUUUAUCUUUUUUUUUUUUUUUUGGUUUAUUUUAGACAAAAGAAGUUAGAAAAGGUGAUGGAAGAAGAAGGCCUGAAAGACGAAGAGGUGAUUUAUAUGGGGCUUGUUCCCGGGUUCCAGCGUGAAGGUUAUGUUUUCUUCAUCAAGUUAGCUUUGGUGCCAGGGAAGCGUUUGGCUCCGUGACAGGAAUUUGAGAGUUAGCAUGCUUUUGGAUUCAGUUACUCAUUCAGAGGAAGACGUUAAUUAGGUGCUUAGGAGAGGGCGGUCUCUCUAGUCACAGUUAUGGUGAUUAAUUAGCUUUAGAAUUCUAAGAAAAGAAAAGAUGAAAUUAGUUAAACUAAAUUAAAAUUUAGAAGAACAGAGUGAGAAUUUUUUACCAAGUUGUGGUGCUUCAUACUGUAAUCUCAGCACUUGGAAGUUGAGGCAGGAGGAUUGCUGCAGGAUUGAGGCCAACCUGCACCAGAGGGUGAGAUCUUGUCUUUAAUGAGUGAAUGAAUUAACUGAAAGACCCCGUAGCAGUAAGGAACAUUUCUGAAGUCGUUAUUGGAACAGGGGACUGCCUCCUGACAGCCCUUGUGCACACAGCUUACAGAUGUGAGGCAAAGAUACACCAGUGAGGAGGGAUGCAGGUAGCCAAACAGCUCUGGCAACACCUUCAGAAACGUGGGUGAUACAGCCCAGGACAGUGGUAGCAAGUCCCCAGCACAGGGCAUUGAGGCCAGGUGGUGAAUGAAUGCUAGUAUGUACUGGUCUUGGAGGACUUUAGAAAAACACCCUUACCUAAGAAAAGGCUCAUGGAAAAUGUUGAUUUGUCUCUCACCAUUAGAAAGGCUAGAUUGUUGAAGUAGUUUCUUCAGAGUUCUCAGGAGCCCCACACCCCCUUCAGUGUGGCUUGCUCGUUAUGUCUGAUGACCUGGGAGGGGAGAAGGAACCACUAGAGCAUGCUUGUGUGAUGCUGUCAGUCACAGGGAAAAUGGGAAGAUUAUGUAUAGACUAGCGUGGCUCUGCUCCCAGCUGCACAAGACAGAUAGGAGUUGGUUUCAGAAUUUCAGCUUUCCUUCCUUUUCUUUGUAUAAACAUUAGAAACGACUCAGAAGAUCCGCGCACGCUCGGAAGGAAACAGAGUUUCUUCGAUUAAAGAGAACAAGGCUUGGACUGGAAGAUUUUGAGUCUUUAAAAGUCAUAGGCCGAGGAGCAUUUGGUGAGGUAAAAAAAAAAAAAUCCCAGAAAUUCAAAGCUUUUAACAUGCCAUGAGUUCCUGAUGGUGUGUAAUACCAGGUUAGCUAGGGAGAGCCUGUCUUGAAAUAUAUGGAGUUCACUGGAUAGACAUGUUCACUUCUCUUUUUCUUUUUCUCCCCAGUUCAUUGUCCCAGAUCACUUCUGACUUGUCAGAGAGGACAUUAGCACUUUGUUUUUUUUGGACAGAGUCACACUAUGUAGCCCAAGUUGGCAUCAACUGUGUGAUCCCGCUGCCAUAGCAUGCAGAGUGUUACAGGCAUGUCCCACUGUGCUGAGAUCCUGAUGUUAGGAUGCCCAGUAUAUUUACUCAUUAAUUCUGGAAUCAUCACAGUGGAUGUAGACAUUAAGACUCUGAAGAUGCACACGGUCUGUCAGUCACACAGCUGUUGAGCAUAGAGACCAGAGGCUGGGCUGGAGUCCUCUGCCUUGAAGCUGUUGCUUUCCCAGUACCACCGUUCUCAAGGAGGAAACUGAUCUUGUCUCCACUCUAUUCCCUACCAGAUGCUUACAGCUCUAAAGAGAUGUGCCUAAGCUUGGUUAGACAUACGCAUGAAUGUAAUGGUAGCACUCUAGAAGCUGAGGCAGAAGGACACGCCAGCCCAGGUUAGCUAGGGAUCCUGUCUUUUUAAAAAAAAAAAAAAAAAAAAAAGACAGACCUUGAAUUAGUAUAGAGCAUUAAAGGCCCAGCUGCUGUCUGUGUCUGGUUGCAAGAAUCAAAUGUAGACAGGUGCUCUGCCCUUCUGCUGCUCCCCAGGCCUUUACUUAGCCCAGAUCUUAUCAAUGAAUCCUGCUGCACUACAAGAGCAGUCUCGGGAAAACGGUGAAUGAGCUCAUGCCAAGGUCAUUGCCAUUGAUGGAAAACAUGCAAAGGCAGCUUACUGAUGCAGUAAUUACAUGGUCUCCGUGUAGAAGGAGAAACAUGGUAUAAACAACAGUACUCAGGGGAGAACUGCAUAUUAUCGUGAAGAGACUCUCAAAAGGUAAAAUUGACCCUUCAGUUGAGAAUUCCAGUUAGCCCUUGAGAAUAAGGAAGUGUUGUUCAAAAUGCUCCCUGUUCAAGAAAAAGCACAUGGUACUUGAUUAGAAAGACAAAAUGCAGAAAGACAUAGGGGAAAAACCACUUCUCAGUCUUUUUGACUGAGAUCAGGUGUAGUAUCUGCUCUUAGCAGUUUAAUAUCUAGUAUGUCCUCCAUCUAAGGACAGUAAAUUAAAUGGAGUUUUGGACCUGGGAGAAGGAACAGGAGCAUGCUCUUUGACUUGGCAUUGCAGUAAGAGAACAAAACCCCACAAAACUUAGGUAUCUUGGGGGAAAGGAGAGAAUGCCCAGGAGCUUGCCAGGAGGUUUUCCUUUUUAAUAGACCAUUAGUUUUCUUUUCACAGUACAAUUUUCUCUUUAAAAGCACUGGGAAAAUGGUGCUAGAGAGAUGGCUUAUUGGUUAAAAGCCCUUACUGCACUUUUAGAAUACAGUGCCCACUUACAGACACAUUCACUUUAAUUAAAAAUAAUUGAAUUCUUUUAAAAAAUUGGAAAAUAGGCUGGACAUAGUAGCUUAGGUCUUUAAUCCCAGCACCUAGGAGUCAGAGGCAGAUGGCUCUCUGUGAGUUUGGGGCCUUUUCUCCAUAGUGAGCUUCAGGACUACAUAGAUCCUGUC